rnacentral:lncRNA from 1 species
UUUUUUUUUUAAUGGCCACGCUUGCGCAUAUGGCAAUUCCUGGGCCAGAGAUUGAAUCUGAGCUAAGUUGCAGCUGCAACUCAUGGUGCAGGUGCAGCAAUGCUGGACCCUUUAACACACUGCAUCAGGGCAGGGAUCAAACCAGCACCUCUGCAGCAACCCAAUCCACUGCCAUUGGAUUCUGAACCCACUGCCUCCACAGCAGAAAAUCCCAUUAUUAAGAAUUAAAUUAUGUGCACUUACAAUUAAAUAAAUAAUAUUUAAAAUAAAGGCAAGAAAUGCUCACACUUUAUAACUUCCUAAUUAUUUUACUACAUUUUACUAUUCCCUAUGUUCUGGGGACUAUUUAUGACUUUUUAUGCCUAUAUGACCGAAAUAUUCUCUAAUUGUGUGAUACAGCACAUCAUUUUCCAAUGCCACAUUUAGUGCCAUCAUGUUGGUAGUUUGAAAUUGGCCAUUUUGUAAAUGUUUCUACCACAUAAAUAGGUGAGUGCUGCAAAAGACAAUUUCAUUAAUUGUUUUAUUGAUUGACUACAUAGAAUGCAAUAGUAAAAAUCUUAAUAGUGAAGAUUCAAAUAUAAAAGUGUGUCAUUCUAUAGCCAUUACAUUGUGAAUAGCACCAAAAUUGAGGAAAUAUGAUUCCAGUAUUAGAAAGCUAUUAUCCCAUUCAGCCAAUAAGGCAGUCACAUAAUUAGCAAAGGGGACAAGUUUAAGGUGCAUCUUUGUGGUUUCAUUUUCAUAUUACUCAUUAAAGUAAAUAAAAAUAUCAAUCAACAUUCAUACCAGGACGAUAUUAAUUUGUCAAUUGCAACAAGGUUGGCUAGGGAGACAAGAGUUUGACAGAAAUCAAUACAAACUUUCUGGAAGAGUAAUUUGGCUAUAUGUAAUUUGAAAUAAAGAGUAUUGUUUAUCAUGAUUGUAAAUUGAGUUCUAUACAUCCUUCAUAUUAGUAAAAUUUAUAAUAAAUGUAUUUGUGUGUAUUGCUAUAGACUGAAUGUUUGUAUCCCCCAAACCCACAAAUUUAUACGGAUGGAGAUCUCAUGAAUGGGAUUAAUAUUCUUUUAAAACAGACCCCAAAGAGCUCCCUUGCCCCUUUCAUCAUAUGAGAACACAGAGAAAAGAGAGUCUGUGAACCAGAAAGACAACCUCGUAAGACUCUGAAUCUGCUGGUACCUUGCUUGGAUUUCCCAGCCUCUGGAGCUGUGAGAAAUGAAUCUCUGUUGUUUAUAAACCACCAAGUAUUCUGUUAUAGCACCCCAAAUGGACCAAGGUACUUUCUUUGGGAGCCAGUGGUUCAGCUGGUUAGAAGAAGUACAGAGCUCAAUGUCACUCACCAACUUUGCACCAGUGCUCCAAUACCAUCUCACAUCUAAAGCCAUGUGGGGGACUCCUUUUGACCAUCAGACAGAAGAGGAAAAACUCAGAGCUUGCUUCAUUCUGAGUCUGCUUGGUAGAUAGGUAUAAGCAUUUGCUCAGCCUGAAGUUACCAUCCUCCACCUAGGUAGGAGCCUUAGUUCCUGCAGAAGAACUCAGAGCUACUGUAAUGUAUAUUUCUUGAGGAUCCAGGAUCCUGCUUUAAUGGCUGCACUCUUGACUGUUCUUCCUUUGUUUCUCCAUUCCCUCCCUUCCCUGAUAAGUAAUUGUUUGAAUCUGCCCUUUGGGAGUCAAGGAAAGUCAUGGAGGCUGUAUGAAGCUUAUUUCCUACAAACAAGAAACAGAGGACACAGAAAGGCUUUUGUGCCCAGGAAGGUCCCAUAGGGUCCUGUUCUCAGGAAGAGAGGCCAACAGGAACCAUGGAGUCUGAAAGUGGAUGAGAAAUGAAUUUUUACUGUGCAAGCAGCAGCAAAUGGAAGGCUUGUAGGCAUAUUGCUCAGAUAUUCCUUCAAGCAAACUGCCCCAGGAGUGCACUAGCUACAGAGCCUUAGGGGUUCUUGCAGCAUUGGGAUGGAGGACGCAUUCCCCCUGUGAAGCUUCUGCCAAUGGCCGAGCACAGUGAGAGUCCUAGGUUCUUGCCCUUUCUACCUAGUGCAGGAGGGUUCUAAGAGUAACCUUUGUUCUGAAGCUCUCUAUUGAAUUGACCAGGACUGCCUCUUCUGCACCUCUCCUUUUUCCCCCUUUCUCCUUUCAUAAGUGUCAGAUCUUCCCAGGUAUGAAGACUUUCUCUGUCUAUUCCUACACCUUUUCCCAUUUAUCUCUAUCUUUUACCUCCAAUAAAUCUCUUGUCCUUCUAAUUCCAUCUUGGCAUUUGCUUCCCUGACAAGCAAAAGUGACUCAUAUGGUCACUUGAUUUAUGAUAGAUGCAAGUGCAGUAUAGUAGGAAAAUGGUCACUUGUUUAAUAAAUGGCAUUAGGCAAAUGAAUUAUGGGAAAAACAUGAAUCUGACUCCUACUCUACUCCAAACACAGAAAUAAAUUCUAGAUAGACUUUAUACAUAAGUGUUGAGGGUAAUAAAUGUUUUUUUUUUCCUAACAGGACCCUGGAAUACCAAACAAAAGUAAAAAGUUUCAUACUUGGAUUUCAUUAAAAAUAAGAACAUCUAAUCAUGAAAAGAGACCACUCAGAGAGUGAAAAGGCCCUAAAUGAAAGAAGAUACUGGCAAUUUAUAUAUCCUCCAGAGAUUUCAUAUUCAGAAUCUAUAACAAAUUCCUUUAAACCAAUAACAAGAAAAUGAUCCAAAUUUUAGGGGAGGGGUGUAUUAGUUUCCUAUGUCUAUCUUAACAAAUUACCACAAACUUAGUGACUUAAAACCACAGAAAUGUAUUUCCUCACUUUCUAGAGGCCAAAGCAUGAAGUCGUGAUCGUUGGGCUGAAAUCAGUGUGGCCAGCAUGGCCCUCCUUCCAGAGGCUAUAGAGAGGAAGCCAUUCCCUGCCUCCUCUAGCUUCUGGUGACAGCCAGCAUCCCUUGGCUUGUGGCCCCAUCACUCCAGUCUCAGCCCCUGGGACCACACUGCUUUCUCCCCUCCUGUCUGUAUCAAAUCUCCCACUGCUUCUCUUACAUGUGAUUGUAUUUACACCUCACCCAGAUAAUCCAGAAUUAUUUUCCUAUCACAAGAUUCCAAUUCACAUCUGCAAUACCCCCUUUCCAAGUAAGAUAACAUUUAUGGGUUCAGGAACAUCUUUGGGAGACAUAAUCCUCCCUUCUUCAGGAUGCAAAGGGUUAGAGCAAUGUGUGACAACAAGGAUAGCCAAAUGUCUACUGUCAAACACUCUCCCAUCACUUCCAAUUCCAAGAGUCUAUCAUUCUAUGAAAAUCAGUAAUUUUUUUUUCUUUUUAUGGCUGCACCUGCAGCAUAUGGAAGUUCCCAGGCUAAGGGUCUCAUCAGAGCUGCAGCUCCAGUAUUGCCACAGCUACAGCAAUACUUGAUCCAAGACACAUCUGUGACUUUCGCCUCAGAUUGAGGCAAUGCUGGAUCCUUAACUUACUGAGCAAGGCCAGGGAUCAAACCCCCAUCCUCAAGGUCACUAUGUUGGGUUCCUAACCAGCUGAGCCACAAAGGGAACUCCUAAAAAUCAGCAUUCUUAACGUUAGAUAUUAUAAAAACAAUUUGACAGUCUUUCUUGUGCUUUACAGUUAUUAUUGUUUGGGGGAUAGGUUUGGAAGCUUUAAUAAGACAUUAUUAAAAUAGAAGGAGGAAAAGAAAUUUAAAAAGAUAGAAAGAAAAUCUUAGACACUAAGAAUGAGAAAGAUAACAUGGAAUCAAGGGGGUUAAAAAAAGCAGAUAUAAGUAAUAUUUUAAAAAUUGUACUUUGAGCUAAAGGCGAAAAAUUUCAAAAAAUGGAGACUACGAAUAAAUUCAUUUCUCUAUGGACACUCUCAAAACCAUCUCCUCAGUGUGACUGAAUUCCAAGCAGAUGAGCCAGCAGAUUUAAUCUCCCUGUGUUGUGCAACGAGGGAGUAAACAUUCUACAGAUCCCAUUAGUCCCCUUACAAGGAAUGCUUAGUUUAAUAUGACCACAAAAACAAACUUAGGGAGGAAACUUGAACUGUUAAAUCCUAUGUAAGAGAUGGUAUAGGUGUCCUUUCUUAUGCAUGGAAAACUUGCAUCUGUGUUUUCUAACUGCUGCCCCCUGUUUACAGCGGGCUGUGAGGACUAAGGAGACAGAGAUCAGCAUUCUCCCUUGGAGCCUAGUAACCUGGAAGAGCAAAUUCCCAGGAGUUCACCCAAGUAGACUCAGGUAUUCUGUCCAAGCUAGCAUAGCCCUGAAAGUGCCUCACUUCCUCCCACAGAAUAGUUCAAGUAUUAGAUCCUUAAAGAGUAUUAGAUCCAAUAAUGGAGAAAAUACUCCUGAUAAAAUGAUUAUUAAAUAAAAUCUUAAUCAUUUACUUUGCUUUAAUCUCUCCUAUUAUGUGAUGAAUAGGAACUGAAAAUGAUUUAGCCUGUAAAUCCAUUUAAUCUAAUUUCUUUAAAUGUAAAGAAAAGAUUUUAUUUCCGGAGUUCCCAUUGUGGCACAGCGGAAACAAAUCCAACUAGUAUACAUGAGGAUGUGGGUUUGAUCCCUGGCUUGGCUCAAGGAUCCAGUGUUGCUGUGAGCUGUGGUGUAGAUGGCAAAUGUAGCUUGGAUCCCACAUUUCUGUGGCUGUGGCAUAAGCUGGCAGCUGUAGCUCCAAUUCAACCCCUUGCCUGGGAACUUCCAUAUGCUGCAGGUGCAGCACUAAAAAGCGAAAAAAAAAAAAAAAAAAAGGAGAAGGAGAAGAAGAAAGAAGAUUUUAUUUCCAUAUUACGUAGGCAUCUUGAUGCAAAGCUUCCAGCUGAGCAUCAGGCCAAUCACCAAAGCAGGGGCCCCACCCCCAAGAGGCUUCAUUAUAUUUGAGAUAAAAUAUGUCACACAAACAGAAAAAGGUCUGUGUACCAGAGCAAAAAUAAACUGAUUUUGGAGUUGGGGCACCCAGGCUCUGGUCCCAGAACUAGCACUGAGGAACUGCUGCCUCCUCAACCCCUGUUCAUUUCUAAAUGUGUAAGACAGACAAUGUCAUCAAACAGUUUCCAAGGUCUCUAAGAUCUAAGAUUAAAUGGUUCUGUUCUAUGGAGGUAGAUCAAAUGCUGUAGAUUUACCAAGAGAGACAUAAUAGCAAUUCUAGUAGAUGAUUUUUAUUGAGUUUAUACCAUGUGCCAGGCUUUGAGCUAACUACCCCCCCCCAACAAGCUUGGAACCAUUUAAGCCUUAAACAACUUUAGGGCAUUAUUAUUAUAUUUCUCUUAGAAAUGGGAAAAAAAAUUAAAAACAAAAAAGGCCCAGGACCACACAGCUGAAGUGGUGGGUCACACAGUUGGAUGAAAUGGCCAUUGAUGUGGGAUUUGAAAAGAAAAGGACAAUUUCUGGUAAGUUUGGGGGAAUAUACACCCUCUAGGUCUGUGGCAAAGCAGUUCAUUUAGCUCUGUCAACACCUUGUUUCAAGCUGUCAUCUCAACAGACCAUUAGAGAUAAUGUUUUAUUAUUCCAAUAAUGUCAGAUCACACCCAACAUUUUAUUUUUAUAUUAUACUUAUUCUUGGGAUAAACAUUUUGUUAGAAUCAAGUCAAAAAUUCAAAUCAUAGUCUUUACCCAUACUUUAAGCUCCCAAAUUAUACUAAUACCAAUGUAAAUCUUGACUUCAUCUUAAUUUUAGGAUAAUUUCAACAUAUAAAACAUACUUCUUUAAUCUCUUAACAUAUUCAUUCCAAGAAGAAAUUAAUAAUGUUUUCAUCACCAUUGCUUCUCUAUUCUAAGUUAGAACGGAGUUCAGAAACACAAGUAUUACUUGAAUUUCUUGCUGGACCAGUCAAUCUGUACAUUUUCCGAUACAUGUUAUUUUGGUUCAAUGAGUUUCAUUGCAAUUCUUUUUCUCCUGUGUCUAGUUCAUACUGUGAUUAAUGACCAAACUUGUAUUGGUCUCCCCGCAAUUGCCUUGAGAAUGUGCAAUACUGGAUUUAUUCACUUACUAUAAAUGCAACACAGAGAUGCAAUUUUCAAUGUAAAUAUUUCCCUUAACAUAUGCAGAUAUUUAUCAUUGACUUUUAAAAAUAAAUUUCUUGGAUUUUACACACAGAAAUGUUCUAUGUAGUAACAACUUACUUUUAUUUAUUUUUAUUUAUUUAUUUAUUUAUUUAUUUGUCUUUUUGCCAUUUCUUGGGCCGCUCUCGCGGCAUAUGGAGGUUCCCAGGCUAGGGGUCUAAUCGGAGCUGUAGCCACCAGCCUAUGCCAGAGCCACAGCAACGCAGGACCCGAGCCGUGUCUGCAACCUACACCACAGCUCACAGCAACGCCGGAUCGUUAACCCACUGAGCAAGGGCAGGGACCGAACCCGCAAACUCAUGGUUCCUAGUCGGAUUCGUUAACCACUGCGCCACGAUGGGAACUCCAACUUUUAAAAAUAAAAUAUCGUCAGUGAAAAUAAUCAGAUUAAUAUUGUAAAAUAAACUCUUUUUUUACCUAAAGACAGAACAAUGAUAGGAGCCAGUCUCCACACUACAUAUGUCCUGUGAACUCUACCUUAGAAAGAUAACUUCCAACACUGAGAAUUAUUUUCUUAGGAGGGAAAAAUAUUAAUUAGAGUUUCAAUAAUAAAGUAAUUAAUAAAGUGAAUAUAGUAAAUAAAUCAAUAGCAUGUUAUUCC